rnacentral:rRNA from 1 species
GAUAAACGCUGGCGGCGUGCCUAAUACAUGCAAGUCGAGCGAACGGACGAGAAGCUUGCUUCUCUGAUGUUAGCGGCGGACGGGUGAGUAACACGUGGAUAACCUACCUAUAAGACUGGGAUAACUUCGGGAAACCGGAGCUAAUACCGGAUAAUAUUUUGAACCGCAUGGUUCAAAAGUGAAAGACGGUCUUGCUGUCACUUAUAGAUGGAUCCGCGCUGCAUUAGCUAGUUGGUAAGGUAACGGCUUACCAAGGCAACGAUGCAUAGCCGACAUGAGAGGGUGAUCGGCCACACUGGAACUGAGACACGGUCCAGACUCCUACGGGAGGCAGCAGUAGGGAAUCUUCCGCAAUGGGCGAAAGCCUGACGGAGCAACGCCGCGUGAGUGAUGAAGGUCUUCGGAUCGUAAAACUCUGUUAUUAGGGAAGAACAUAUGUGUAAGUAACUGUGCACAUCUUGACGGUACCUAAUCAGAAAGCCACGGCUAACUACGUGCCAGCAGCCGCGGUAAUACGUAGGUGGCAAGCGUUAUCCGGAAUUAUUGGGCGUAAAGCGCGCGUAGGCGGUUUUUUAAGUCUGAUGUGAAAGCCCACGGCUCAACCGUGGAGGGUCAUUGGAAACUGGAAAACUUGAGUGCAGAAGAGGAAAGUGGAAUUCCAUGUGUAGCGGUGAAAUGCGCAGAGAUAUGGAGGAACACCAGUGGCGAAGGCGACUUUCUGGUCUGUAACUGACGCUGAUGUGCGAAAGCGUGGGGAUCAAACAGGAUUAGAUACCCUGGUAGUCCACGCCGUAAACGAUGAGUGCUAAGUGUUAGGGGGUUUCCGCCCCUUAGUGCUGCAGCUAACGCAUUAAGCACUCCGCCUGGGGAGUACGACCGCAAGGUUGAAACUCAAAGGAAUUGACGGGGACCCGCACAAGCGGUGGAGCAUGUGGUUUAAUUCGAAGCAACGCGAAGAACCUUACCAAAUCUUGACAUCCUUUGACAACUCUAGAGAUAGAGCCUUCCCCUUCGGGGGACAAAGUGACAGGUGGUGCAUGGUUGUCGUCAGCUCGUGUCGUGAGAUGUUGGGUUAAGUCCCGCAACGAGCGCAACCCUUAAGCUUAGUUGCCAUCAUUAAGUUGGGCACUCUAAGUUGACUGCCGGUGACAAACCGGAGGAAGGUGGGGAUGACGUCAAAUCAUCAUGCCCCUUAUGAUUUGGGCUACACACGUGCUACAAUGGACAAUACAAAGGGCAGCGAAACCGCGAGGUCAAGCAAAUCCCAUAAAGUUGUUCUCAGUUCGGAUUGUAGUCUGCAACUCGACUACAUGAAGCUGGAAUCGCUAGUAAUCGUAGAUCAGCAUGCUACGGUGAAUACGUUCCCGGGUCU